CAGCCGCCGCGGGAAUACGAAGGGUGCAAGCGUUAAUCGGAAUUACUGGGCGUAAAGCGCGCGUAGGUGGUUUGGUAAGAUGGAUGUGAAAUCCCCGGGCUCAACCUGGGAACUGCAUCCAUAACUGCCUGACUAGAGUACGGUAGAGGGUGGUGGAAUUUCCUGUGUAGCGGUGAAAUGCGUAGAUAUAGGAAGGAACACCAGUGGCGAAGGCGACCACCUGGACUGAUACUGACACUGAGGUGCGAAAGCGUGGGGAGCAAACAGGAUUAGAUACCCCUGUAGUCCCUGUCUCUUAUAA
rnacentral:rRNA from 1 species